rnacentral:rRNA from 1 species
UAGAGUUUGAUCCUGGCUCAGAUUGAACGCUGGCGGCAGGCCUAACACAUGCAAGUCGAGCGGAUGAAGAGAGCUUGCUCUCUGAUUCAGCGGCGGACGGGUGAGUAGUGCCUAGGAAUCUGCCUGGUAGUGGGGGACAACGUUUCGAAAGGAACGCUAAUACCGCAUACGUCCUACGGGAGAAAGCAGGGGACCUUCGGGCCUUGCGCUAUCAGAUGAGCCUAGGUCGGAUUAGCUAGUAGGUGAGGUAAUGGCUCACCUAGGCGACGAUCCGUAACUGGUCUGAGAGGAUGAUCAGUCACACUGGAACUGAGACACGGUCCAGACUCCUACGGGAGGCAGCAGUGGGGAAUAUUGGACAAUGGGCGAAAGCCUGAUCCAGCCAUGCCGCGUGUGUGAAGAAGGUCUUCGGAUUGUAAAGCACUUUAAGUUGGGAGGAAGGGCAGUAAGUUAAUACCUUGCUGUUUUGACGUUACCGACAGAAUAAGCACCGGCUAACUCUGUGCCAGCAGCCGCGGUAAUACAGAGGGUGCAAGCGUUAAUCGGAAUUACUGGGCGUAAAGCGCGCGUAGGUGGUUCGUUAAGUUGGAUGUGAAAUCCCCGGGCUCAACCUGGGAACUGCAUCCAAAACUGGCGAGCUAGAGUACGGUAGAGGGUGGUGGAAUUUCCUGUGUAGCGGUGAAAUGCGUAGAUAUAGGAAGGAACACCAGUGGCGAAGGCGACCACCUGGACUGAUACUGACACUGAGGUGCGAAAGCGUGGGGAGCAAACAGGAUAAGAUACCCUGGUAGUCCACGCCGUAAACGAUG